CCUACGGGAGGCAGCAGUGGGGAAUCUUGCGCAAUGGGCGAAAGCCUGACGCAGCAACGCCGCGUGCGGGAUGAAGGCCUUCGGGCUGUAAACCGCUUUCAGCAGGAACGAAAAUGACGGUACCUGCAGAAGAAGGAGCGGCCAACUACGCGCCAGCAGCCGCGGUGACACGUAGGCUCCAAGCGUUGUCCGGAUUUAUUGGGCGUAAAGAGCUCGUAGGCGGUUUAGUAAGUCGGGUGUUAAAACUCUGGGCUCAACCCGGAGAGGCCAUCCGAUACUGCUGUGACUUGAGUUCAGGAGGGGAGCGGGGAAUUCCUAGUGUAGCGGUGAAAUGCGCAGAUAUUAGGAGGAACACCGGUGGCGAAGGCGCCGCUCUGGACUGAAACUGACGCUGAGGAGCGAAAGCAUGGGUAGCAAACAGGAUUAGAUACCCUGGUAGUCCAUGCCGUAAACGGUGGGCACUAGGUGUGGGUUCCAACUAACGGGAUCCGCGCCGUCGCUAACGCAUUAAGUGCCCCGCCUGGGGAGUCGGUCGCAAGCUAAAACUCAAANANAUGCGCGNGAGACGUGCGAGCGACACGAGGAGAGG
rnacentral:rRNA from 1 species